rnacentral:rRNA from 1 species
UACGAAGGGGGCUAGCGUUGCUCGGAAUCACUUGGGCGUAAAGGGUGCGUAGGUGGUGAGGUAAGUCGGAUGUGAAAUCUCCGGGCUCAACCCGGAAAUGGCAUUGGAAACUACCUUGCUGGAGGAUUUGAGGGGGGAUUGGAAUACUUGGUGUAGCAGUGAAAUGCGUAGAUAUCAAGUGGAACACCAGUGGCGAAGGCGAAUCCCUGGAAAAUACCUGACACUGAGGCACGAAAGCUAGGGGAGCAAACAGG